AACUAACGCUGGCGGCGUGCCUAACACAUGCAAGUCGUACGAGAAAGUUGGCUUCGGCCGAUGAGUAAAGUGGCGCACGGGUGAGUAAUGCGUGGAUAAUCUGCCCUUUAGUUGGGAAUAACGUACCGAAAGGUGCGCUAAUACCUGAUAAUACUGCAUAACUACUGUUGUGUAGUCAAAGAAGGCCUCUGUUUACAAGCUUUUGCUGAAGGAUGAGUCCGCGUACCAUUAGCUGGUUGGUGGGGUAAUGGCCUACCAAGGCUACGAUGGUUAGCUGGUCUGAGAGGAUGAUCAGCCACACUGGAACUGAGACACGGACCAGACUCCUACGGGAGGCAGCAGUGAGGAAUAUUGGUCAAUGGGCGCAAGCCUGAACCAGCCAUCCCGCGUGCAGGAAGACGGCCCUAUGGGUUGUAAACUGCUUUUCCAGGGAGAGAAACUUACGCACGUGUUGCGUGACUGACGGUACCCUGGGAAUAAGCAUCGGCUAAC
rnacentral:rRNA from 1 species